rnacentral:rRNA from 1 species
CUCAGGACGAACGCUGGCGGCGUGCUUAAUACAUGCAAGUCGAGCGGACCGACGGGAGCUUGCUCCCUUAGGUCAGCGGCGGACGGGUGAGUAACACGUGGGUAACCUGCCUGUAAGACUGGGAUAACUCCGGGAAACCGGGGCUAAUACCGGAUGCUUGAUUGAACCGCAUGGUUCAAUCAUAAAAGGUGGCUUUUAGCUACCACUUACAGAUGGACCCGCGGCGCAUUAGCUAGUUGGUGAGGUAACGGCUCACCAAGGCGACGAUGCGUAGCCGACCUGAGAGGGUGAUCGGCCACACUGGGACUGAGACACGGCCCAGACUCCUACGGGAGGCAGCAGUAGGGAAUCUUCCGCAAUGGACGAAAGUCUGACGGAGCAACGCCGCGUGAGUGAUGAAGGUUUUCGGAUCGUAAAACUCUGUUGUUAGGGAAGAACAAGUACCGUUCGAAUAGGGCGGUACCUUGACGGUACCUAACCAGAAAGCCACGGCUAACUACGUGCCAGCAGCCGCGGUAAUACGUAGGUGGCAAGCGUUGUCCGGAAUUAUUGGGCGUAAAGCGCGCGCAGGCGGUUUCUUAAGUCUGAUGUGAAAGCCCCCGGCUCAACCGGGGAGGGUCAUUGGAAACUGGGGAACUUGAGUGCAGAAGAGGAGAGUGGAAUUCCACGUGUAGCGGUGAAAUGCGUAGAGAUGUGGAGGAACACCAGUGGCGAAGGCGACUCUCUGGUCUGUAACUGACGCUGAGGCGCGAAAGCGUGGGGAGCGAACAGGAUUAGAUACCCUGGUAGUCCACGCCGUAAACGAUGAGUGCUAAGUGUUAGAGGGUUUCCGCCCUUUAGUGCUGCAGCAAACGCAUUAAGCACUCCGCCUGGGGAGUACGGUCGCAAGACUGAAACUCAAAGGAAUUGACGGGGGCCCGCACAAGCGGUGGAGCAUGUGGUUUAAUUCGAAGCAACGCGAAGAACCUUACCAGGUCUUGACAUCCUCUGACAACCCUAGAGAUAGGGCUUCCCCUUCGGGGGCAGAGUGACAGGUGGUGCAUGGUUGUCGUCAGCUCGUGUCGUGAGAUGUUGGGUUAAGUCCCGCAACGAGCGCAACCCUUGAUCUUAGUUGCCAGCAUUCAGUUGGGCACUCUAAGGUGACUGCCGGUGACAAACCGGAGGAAGGUGGGGAUGACGUCAAAUCAUCAUGCCCCUUAUGACCUGGGCUACACACGUGCUACAAUGGGCAGAACAAAGGGCAGCGAAGCCGCGAGGCUAAGCCAAUCCCACAAAUCUGUUCUCAGUUCGGAUCGCAGUCUGCAACUCGACUGCGUGAAGCUGGAAUCGCUAGUAAUCGCGGAUCAGCAUGCCGCGGUGGAUACGUUCCCCGGGCCUUGUACACACCGCCCGUCACACCACGAGAGUUUGUAACACCCGAAGUCGGUGAGGUAACCUUUUGG